UACGGGGGGGCAAGCGUUGUUCGGAAUUACUGGGCGUAAAGGGUGCGUAGGCGGUUCGCUAAGUUGGAUGUGAAAACUCUGGGCUUAACCCAGAGCCUGCAUUCAAAACUGACGGGCUAGAGUUCUGGAGGGGGUAGCGGAAUUCCUGGUGUAGCGGUGAAAUGCGUAGAUAUCAGGAGGAACACCGGUGGUGUAGACGGCUAUCUGGACCGUAACUGACGCUGAGGCACGAAAGCGUGGGUAGCAAACAGG
rnacentral:rRNA from 1 species